rnacentral:lncRNA from 1 species
UGAUCCAUUGCCUUGUACACGCCAGGUUCCCUGAGUUCUUAUCCCACAUGCCCAGAAAAAAAUGAAAGAUGUGCUACAACCAAUCAAGAGUGAGCAAGGCAGGGAGUUUUAUUGAGUGAUGAAACAGCUUUCAGCAGAGAGGGAAGCAGGGGUGGUCCCCCUACCUGAAGGCAGGAAAGUCCCCUCCAUGAGGCUGAGUCCUGGGGCUUUUUAUGGGCUCAGAAUAGGAGAGGGGCAGGCAAACAGGAACAGAAAUUCUUACUCUGCAUCAUGGAUUUCAUCCAGGACCAGCAGUCUGGUCUUUCAGCCUUCAGGCUGUUUUUGGCUUGAAGGUACGAUUUCACCUCUGCCUCCAUCCCUGUCACUGUCACCCCUAUAUAAGGAUUCUUUUGAUGUUAGCAACAAAGGAAGGGAGAAGGUAGUAUAUAAAAGAAAGAGAGAGAAAGAGAGAGAGAUUUGUGCUUUUAGCUCAAGACAUUUGAUAUUUUACUUGCUGCAAAAACUUGAAUAACUUAAUUUUGGCUGACAUUCAUUCAGCACUACCUCCAUGGCAGGUACCAUUUUAAGCACUUUAUGUUUUAAGCUAUGAAAUGUUUACAGAACAUCUUAAUAUUGGUAGCAUUAUUGUUGUUUUACUGAUGAUUAAGCUGAAGCACAGAAAGGUUAAGUAACUUGCCCAGAAUCACACAGCCAGAAAGUAUUAAUAGCAUAACUGAGAUCUGAAACCAGGCAUUGCAAGUCAGGACUUUUGCCACCGUGCUCUGCCAUCAUGGAAGGAAGGAAGUUGCAGGAAGAAGUGGAAUCAGGGAGCUCCAUGUGAAAGAACAGGUCUUUGUGUUUAGUUUUGUUUUGUUGUUUGAGCCAGGGUCUCGCUCUGUUGCCCAGGCUAGAGUGCGUUAAAACAAUUACAGCUCACUGCAGUCUCAACCUCCUGGGCUCAAGCGAUCCUCCCACCUCAGCCUCCCAUGUAGCCACCAUCCCUGGCUAAUUUUUAAAUUUUUUGUAGAGACACGGUUUCACUUUGUUAUCCAAGAUGGUCUCAAACUCCUGGGCUCAAGCAAUCCUCCUACCGUGGCCUCCCAAAGUGCUGGUAUUACAGGCAUGAGCCACGAAGCCUGGCCAAGAACUGGUCUUUAAACAGAGUCUCCCUAUAAAAGCAGAAUCCUAUGUUAAAAGAGUAAUUCCUUUUAUGCAAAACGGCAGGAAAACGUCUGCAUCUACAGAAGUCCUACAUCAUUAUUAUUUUUCACUCAUGUCAU